CACGUAGGGCGCAAGCGUUGUCCGGAAUUAUUGGGCGUAAAGAGCUCGUAGGCGGUCUGUCGCGUCUGCUGUGAAAUCCUGGGGCUUAACUCCGGGCGGGCAGUGGAUACGGGCAGACUAGAGGCCGGUAGGGGAAAGUGGAAUUCCCGGUGUAGCGGUGAAAUGCGCAGAUAUCGGGAGGAACACCGGUGGCGAAGGCGGCUUUCUGGGCCGGACCUGACGCUGAGGAGCGAAAGCGUGGGGAGCGAACAGGAUUAGAAACCCCCGUAGUCC
rnacentral:rRNA from 1 species